CUGAAAAUAAAGGUUUUAUAGGUACUCAAAGUAUGGCUUUUACUGAGUGUGCAUUGAUUUUGUACCGUUAUAAAAUCAAAAAUUAAAAGUGAACCAUUGUAAGUCAGGGAUGUGUGUAUGUGUGUACGAUCCAACCACAGAGUGUGCUCUGAUUACAUUGUGGUAACGAUGUAUACAUAUGACCUGUUCUUUCUUCCCAGGUUGGUCCUGCACUUUGGUGGUGGUGGCUUCCUGGCAUUUUAUAAUUGUCAGAUGUCUUGGAGCUCUUCCCCAGUGGUCACACCCACCUGUGACAUCCUGUCUGAGAAGUUCCAUCGAGGACAAGCCCUAGAAGCUCUAGGCCAGGCUCAGCCUGUCUGCUAUACACUGCUGGACCAGAGAUACUUCUCAGGGCUAGGGAACAUCAUUAAGAAUGAAGCCUUGUACAGAGCUGGGAUCCAUCCCCUUUCUCUUGGUUCAGUCCUGAGUGCCUCGCGUCGGGAGGUCCUGGUGGAUCACGUGGUGGAGUUCAGUACAGCCUGGCUGCAGGGCAAGUUCCAAGGCAGACCGCAGCGCACACAGGUCUACCAGAGAGAACAGUGCCCUGCUGGCCACCAGGUUAUGAAGGAGGCGUUUGGGCCCCAAGAUGGGUUACAGAGGCUCACCUGGUGGUGCCCACAGUGCCAGCCCCAGUUGUCAGAGGAGCCAGAGCAGUGCCAGUUUUCCUAAGGAGCUGGUGGUGCUCUUCAUGGAACCUUGCCCCUUGGGGAACGUGACGUCUAAGUGUCCAGAAAGGAGGAUGUGGGCAGGGACGGGGUACAGAGGAUAUAGUGUGGGUCAGAGGUGCCAGUAUUACAAUAUUCAUCUCCCUGGAGUUAUAUUGAAGGCAGAGUUUUCAUAGGGUUAGAUUUUUUUUUAUCCUUUUCUAGUUCAGUUAAUUCAUCCUAUGGAAUUGCACCAUAGUGAAAGAUGAGAAAAAUCGUGAUAAUGGGUAAGGGGAAAACUUCCCGGAAGGCAAUGGGGCGAGGAAAAAGAAAGCCUAUGGGAAAUGGCUGUGCUCCCAACAUGGCUUUGCGGAUGAUGUGGGGUUUUUUUUUUUGGUUUUUGUUU
rnacentral:sRNA from 1 species